CAGGACCAGGUCCCCGGAAGACAGAGGCAGAAAAGGCUUUUGCCUGUGGUUGGUCACAUUGUUUGCAUAAAUAGAAGAGUCCACCUGAGAGGCCCGGGGUCCUUCCAGGAGGGCACGUUUGAAGCUGGUUCCGAGAACCCUAAUUUUUAAAUGGACACAUUGCUGAACAGCUAAGAAACUACGUUCCCAGCUUCCCUUGCAUCUCUGAUGACCACGUGACCAGGUUUUAGCCAAUGGGAGGCUAAUAGAAGUGUCACAUAGAUGUGGUGGACCAACUGUUACAACGAUGCCCGUGACCCUCGGCUCCGGAGGUUGACAUCUUCGUGUGAUCUUCUCCCCUGGAGGUGGGCAGGAGCUCUGACCUGCUUCUAGAGGCAGAGAAUACAGCAAAUGUGGUAGGAUGUCUGUGACUCCAUGUGCAUGAUUACGUGUUCAUACGUACAUCACUACGUACAGAAGAUGGUAAUGUCUGUCUUCCAAGCAGCCUCUGUCUUCCUUGCUCGUUUGCUGAAGGAAGUGGCCUUUAGGGGAAAGCCCACAGGACAAGAAACUGCAGGUGGCUUCUGGGAGCUGAGGGAGGCCUCCAGCCACCAGCCGGGAAGAAACGGAAGCCCUCAGUCCCACAACCACAGAGCUGGAAUGCUCUCAACAGAGCCAUGUUAACUUGGAGUUCUGCGGGUCAGAGGUCUAAGAUCCAGGUGUCAGCCGGGCUGUGUUCCUUCUGCAGAGUCCAGGGGAGAAGCUGAUUCCUGCUUUUUCCAGUUUCUAGGGGGCCGCCCCCAUUCCUUGGCUCACGGCCCCGCAUCCCAUCGCCUUUUCUCCCUCGGCUUCCAUGGUCACAUUGCCUCCUUCGGUCUCUGACUCUGAUCUCCUGCUUCCAUCUCUUACGGACCCUUGUGACUCUAUUGGUCCAUUUCAAGACCCCUCACUGAACCACAUCUUCAAAGCCCCUUUGCCAUGUAAAUAUUCACAGGUUCGAGGGAUUAAGAGGAUGAACAUCUUUGGGGCGUGUGCGAGGCUGGGGGUGUGGAAGGCUGCCCAGAACAACGCCAGCCAUCUCUGUCACGACAUGAGCAGGGGCUCCAUGCCCAGGACAGGGCGGCGUGCUCCCCAGGACAGAAUGCUCGUCCUUAAACGCACAGCAGGAGCUUCGUUCUUCUACCCACUUUACACUGAGGAAGCGAGGAAACAGGCUCACAGAGAUUGAAAUCCGUUGCCCAAGAGUACCCGUUUGGAAGGUGGUCAGGUGCAGAAACCCAGCUUUAAAAGACUUGAAAAUCCACGCAAAAACAGAAUCAACUGUUAGAUGGCUUUGUUUUUUUUCUUCUCUAUUUUGUUUUCCAUGAAAUUCAAGGCUGGGUGGGUAAAGAAAG
rnacentral:lncRNA from 1 species